GGGCUAAAGCCAUACACCGAAGCUGUGGAUUUGCACGUAAGUGCAAGUGGUAGCGGAGCGUUCUGUAAGCCGUUGAAGAGAGACCCGUGAGGGCUCUUGGAGGUAUCAGAAGUGAGAAUGCAGGAAUGAGUAGCGAGAAAGAGGGCGAGAAUCCCUCUGGCCGGAAGUCCAAGGUUUCCAAAGGAAGGUUUGUCCGCUUUGGGGGAGUCGGGACCUAAGUUGAGGCUGAAAAGCGUAGGCGAAUGGAAAAUAGGUUAAUAUUCCUAUACCACUAUAAUUUGUUUGAGAGAUGGAGUGACGCAGAAAGGUAUGUAAGCAUGCUGACGGAAUAGCAUGUCGAAGAGAGUAGCAUGAAUGUGGAGGUAAAUCCCCAUGUUUAAAUGUGAGACUUGAUAGGGAGAUUCUACGGAAUUGAAGUUACAAAUCCUAUGCUGCCGAGAAAAACUUCUAUUGAGAAUUGUAGUGCCCGUACUGUAAACCGACACAGGUGGACUGAGUGAGAAACUCAAGGCCGACAGGAUAACUCUAGCUAAGGAACUCUGCAAAAUGGCCCCGUAACUUCGGGAGAAGGGGUACCUAUGGUAUGUGAGAGAAGAAACAUCUUGAGCAGAAGUAGGUCGCAGUGAAGAGUCCCAAGCAACUGUUUACCAAAAACACAGGUCUAUGCUAAGCUGAAAGGCGACGUAUAUGGGCUGACACCUGCCCAGUGCUGGAAGGUUAAGAGGAGGGUUGAGAGAUCCGAAUUGAAGCCCCAGUGAACGGCGGCCGUAACAAUAACGGACCUAAGGUAGCGAAAUUCCUUGUCAGGUAAGUUCUGACCCGCACGAAAGGCGUAACGAUUUGGGCACUGUCUCAACAACGCACCCGGUGAAAUUGAAGUGUCAGUGAAGAUACUGACGACCCGCGACAGGACGGAAAGACCCCAUGGAGCUUUACUGCAGCUUAAUAUUGGGACUAGGUUUAACAUGUACAGGAUAGGUGGGACGCUUAGAAGCAAGCACGCCAGUGUUUGUGGAGCGGACGUUGGGAUACCACUCUUGUUAAACUUGGUUUCUAACCACAAGCCAUAAUCUGGCUUUGGGACAUUGUUAGGCGGGCAGA
rnacentral:rRNA from 1 species